AUUUCACGUUGCUUCGAUAUUUCGAGAAUCGCAAUUCACUUCUCGAUAGAUUUCAAAUGGCGGUCGAUCGCGCAACAGUUCGCGGAUCGCGGAGUCGCGUUCGAAUCGCUGCGUGCAUUUCUCGUGAGUGUUUCCGUCUAAAAGUGAACUUCGGACGCGAAAACAUGUCGCGAGUGUUUUGCGAAGUGUGUCGGACGUGUGCCGUAACGCGUUAAAACCCGACGAGUUCAUUUGGCGGAGAAUUCGUUCAAGCAUCUUUGACGAUGCCAAUCUGCAAUGAUGACGCAAGAGACAUAAUGUAGCAAGAUAGAGCGAGAAAUAAACGGAUUUCGGCGCAAAAUGGGAAAAGAGAGAAACCGAAGGAAAGAGAAGGACAGAAAGAGAGAGAGAGAGAGAGAGAGAGAAAAUCGCGUUUCCUUCAGCAUCUUUUCACUGUCGGCAUACUUCCUGGACACCGUGUGCAUCGCAUUACAACGUAGCAAUGAAAUAUCUGGGACGUGCUACUUACCAGUCAGAGUAUCGUCUUUCCUCUCUGCCACAUGACGCUGAUCCGCCGCGACGCCGUUCCGCUGCUUCUCGGCAUCGCCAAA